CUGUGAGGGGAAUGAUGUAUUAUUAUCAGGCGCUUAAGAUGCUUGCCUAUUUGGAUUCUGCAUCUGAAGUUGAUAUUAAGA